AUGAAUGGACCACAGGAGGAUGAGAUGGUCAGAAUCUGGAUAGAGUCGUGGGCCCACUUCCAGUGACACUGAUUUUUCCACAUACUGCUCGCACGUUGCUCGUGCUUCGCUCGCCGCCGAUGAGGCCGGGAGCCAUGGCCGCCGCCGCCGCGAAGCUCCCGCGCCUCACCACCUCCGCCGCGCUCUUCCCGACCCCGAGGCCGUUCGGCUCCCCCAGGCCCGCCAAAGCCAGGCCGAUGCCGCCGCCGCCGCCCAUCACCAUCUCCAUGGACCCUGCCGCCGUCGACCCGGCCCACCUCCAGGCGCUCAUGCUCGCCUGCGCACACUCCUGCGCCAUCCGCCCCUCGCCGCCCUCCGCCGCGGAGGACCCCGUCGACCUCCGCAAGCUCCGCGUCGCGCUCGCGCACAGCUUCCUCGUCGUGUCCGUCUUCUGCAGCGCGAGGUUCCUGGACGAUGGGGAUGGGGGUGUCGAUGGCGAUGGCCGGCGGCGGCUGCUGGGCCUGGGGCUCGGGCUCGGGCGGCGAGAGGACCGGCGGCUCGUCGGAUUUGGCCGGGCCGUCUCCGACGUCGGGCUCACCGCGUCCGUCCACGACGUCGUGUGACUAACAGGUACAUCCGUCACUACAGAGGAGAGGUAUAGGCCGACAAAUUGUUGAGAGAAUGACAAGAGUACUCCAUAACAGAGGUAUAUUUGACAUUUCCGCACUAUGUACAGAAAAGGAGAGGCCCUUUUUUGAAGCAUGUGGAUUUGGGGACGAUGCAAUGGGUUCAACAACAAUGAUGUACACGGGAAAGAUGCACAGAUAGUACACAAUGAUAAUUGUCUCAAGGAAGAUAUUGACAGCUCCUCUGGUGGGUUAACAGUUGCUGCUUGAAUAUAUCACUGCCAGUAAAGGAACAGCAGCCGGAGUAAAUUAUGCAAUCCUUUCUAGCUGGUUAGAAGAGAAAAUAACCAGAAGGAUAUGGCAAAACUCAUAGCAUACUAGUAUUUGUGAAGGAUAGCAGUACAUACCAUGUUUGAUACCCCAGACCAGCAUCUGUAUACUCUACCACUGAUUGUAAAAACUUUGAGAUGAGUGCUAAGAUUUCAUUUACAAACAAAGAAUGAAGGAAGGAAACAAAUACAUCAAACAAGUUAUUGAAUCUGCAGUGGAAAUAGCAAUUAUCCUUCAAGGCUUACUUAUUUUUAA